CUCAUUCUCUCUUUGCCUGCUGCCAUCCAUGUAACACAGGACUUGCUCCUCCUCCUUGCCUUCUGCCAAAAUUGUGAGGCUUCCCCAGCCACUUGGAACUUAUUUGAGCUGAGAUCCUACCUUCCUGUAUAUCAAGAACUUUAGCAUCACAGUCAGCUCUUGAUUAUCUGAGCCAGAUAGACUGGUUUGACGAGCAAGAUAUAGCAGUGACCUGCUCUACUACUUGGAUUCUGGAUGGUUCAGAGAAUCACCAGGAAGUCAGGAACAAAGAGUUCCUGGGCAGCUGGCACCACAGUGCAGAUCAUGACAUGGAACACAGAGGAAUGGCUGCUGCCGUCUUUGACCAUGGGAUGCCAAAUCUCGAAACACCAACUCUGCUGGUCCUCAGAGCCCAGAUACAGCUACUUGUGCUUCUAUCACUGUGUCCCUGGAAACAGAUGUUGCUGCUAUUACUGGAACUGCCAUAAAAGAUUCUCUGCUGCCUGGCUUUUUUGCUCCCCAAUCUGAGCUUAUGCUAAAUGCCUCACUGUUGCUGCAAGGAGGGGGCCAAUACCCAGGGCAACAGGACAGCCAAAAGCAAACAAACAAAUGAACAAACAGAAAAGGUCCAGACUCUGGUGAAAAACAUGCUUCAGGCCCCUCAGUAAGAGUGGACAAGACAAACAUCUUUACAAGCCCCUCCCCAAAAGGUGCCUUGAGCUGUCCAGAAGAGACAAACCGAAGCCCUGCGCUGGAAGGGAGGAAAAGAGAGAGGACCCCCUCCUCCCACCAAGGAGCGGAUUUAGCUGAAAACCACACCGAUCCCCUCUUGGGCUCUUCCUUGGCUGCCCCUUCGGCGCAAUUGCACUUCCUCUUGGGCUUCGGCAGUGGGAAGAGCGUGAGUCGGUUGCCUUUGAGCUGCAGUGCGCCGAGAGGCUUCGCGAGGCUGGGCUCAAUAUUCGUUAAUGAUCAAACAAUUAUUUAUGUUGACAGCCCAAAUCUCCCUUUCCGUAGUUUCCAUCUGAAGACUUAGCUCUCCCUUCUGGUGCAGAACAAGAAAGCCUAAUCUGUCUUCCAGGAGGCUGCUCCUCCUGGGGCCUCUGUCGGUAUCCUCUGUGUUGCUCCUAGUUAAACUCUUAUUCCUCAGGUAAGAUGGUGCUGAGUCUACUCACCAUCGGACUGUGGUGCCUAGUAUUGGACACCACAUCCCUGAUGUGCCCGGACACCUCAGUUCUCUCCCACAUAGCAUCUAUUUGAAGAACUGCUCAAGAGGCUUUGUGGGAGGUCUAGCUCCUCCUCACUCCCUCCAGGCUUGACAUGCCUCCCCCACCCACCACCCCGUACCCUUCCCAGCAUCCUUCCGGUCAGGCAGCAAUCAGCUUGCAUCUGAGAGGGAUCAGCUGUGGUGACUGAGGCUGGCUUGCUCUUGCAGCCCCAGGAACACAGAGAUUCGUGCUGAAGAACCAAAUGGUUCCUACAGUACAAGCAGGCGCCAGGGACUCCGCAGGAGGCAUCACUAGCGCCUUCUAAUUGAUGAGCAGUCCAGCUCUGAAGCUGUGAGCUCUAAAGCCAGAUACCUCCUCCAGGUGACUCUGAUCUUCCUCUCCCAGCUGAAUAGAGUGAACUUCAGUGUUUCUGGCUUCCAGUUCCUGAACUCUGCUUCUUCCAAGGCAGUUUUAGCUUAGGCAUCGCCUUCUCUGGGAAGCUCUUCCUGACUCCCAUUCCUACCCACAGUGAGUCACUUGCUCUCUGUUCCUCACUUCCAUGGCGUUUCCUCCUGUCUCCAUCAUUCUGCUCAUUAGCCCAGGUGACAAUUAUUUGUUGUGGUGUUUGUUGUAGACAAAGAUGGUCUUGUCUGUUUUUUUGGUUUUUGAAUUUGCUACUAAAUGUGUUUUUGAUAAAUGAAUAAAUAUAAUAACACCACAA